rnacentral:rRNA from 1 species
AAAUUGAAGAGUUUGAUCAUGGCUCAGAUUGAACGCUGGCGGCAGGCCUAACACAUGCAAGUCGAGCGGAAACGAGUUGUCUGAACCUUCGGGGAACGAUAACGGCGUCGAGCGGCGGACGGGUGAGUAAUGCCUAGGAAAUUGCCCUGAUGUGGGGGAUAACCAUUGGAAACGAUGGCUAAUACCGCAUGAUGCCUACCGGGCCAAAGA